UUUGCCCAUGGUGUUAUAGCAGAGUAACAUAAAGGUAACCAACUGUUCUGGAUGGGCCUGGUGCUGUUUAUAUGUGGACAAGGAGUCACAAGUACUCAGGUGACUUAUGAACCAAUCCCCUAAUGAAUAAAGGAGCCAAUCACUGGGUGAGUAGGAGGGACUUCCGAGUUGGAAAGGGGACAAGAGGAAGCAGGAGAGAGUUAGAGCCUUUUGGACCAGGGAGAGCAUAAGGGCAGAAUGUAGCUGCUAGAGUUUCCUGGUAUCAUGGCAGAUCCUCAAAGAUUCACCACCAGAGGAAUCAGAUUCUAAUAAGGUUUACAGGAUUAGGUUUUAGUUGUUGUGCCCAGAGACUGAGUUAGCACUGUUUCUGAACUAAGUCUGUGUUGCGUUUUUCCUUCCCGAGGCGGCUCAUCUGAGUUCAAGAGAGAAAGGUAUGGCGGCAAAGCGUGGGUUUGCCUGAUAUGCACCACAAAGGCCAUGGGGGUUUUGCAGCAUGGGGCUGAUGUGGUAAUGACCCACCAGUGGGAACUUAAGAGAGCUGGGUGGAGAGAUUUUGGAGCUUUGAGUCGGAGAGUCUCCGUGAGAUAAAAACAGGUCAGCCAUUGCCCACCAGUGCAUGGCCAGCCAAGGCCACUGGAGCAGAGAGUUGCUGACACAAGUGCUCGCUCGUUCAUUUUUUUAUAUUUCCCCGCAACCACCAACAAAGAGGAACUGUAGGAGUCAGAGAACUUCCAGAUGUGGGAGCUGUGGAGGGUAGUGCCCGCCAAGGCCAUGACAGCCUUCCCUAUCCCUCAGAACCUCUGCGACAUGCUCAGUCUUAAAGCUUCCCCCUUGAAAAUAAAGAGGUCAAUGUAUAUAAAAUGUCUUUUAGAGUUCUACGAACAAUUCUAGCAAAUGACAAAGUAUACUCAGAGGAACUCAAAUUCAAGGCAUAACCACCCCCCACUCCCAGUUUAUACAAAUCUAUCCAAAGCACCAAUACCAGCCAGGACCUGAAGUGUGAAGUGAGGUCCAUCCUGUGGCGGGGUGGAGUCUUGGCCUGUGGGAUCUGACGUUCCAAGUGGAGCCAUGGUUGACUGAAGCUUCCCACCUAGGGAUUGAUGUGAGAAGGGAAACCUACCAGGCUAAGAGCACAGAUGCACUCUGCAGCAUCCAUAGGAUUCAGAGAACUUCCAGAUGUGGGAGCUGUGGAGGGUAGUGCCCUCCAAGGCCCUGACAGCCUUCCCUAUCCCUCAGAUCUGUGGCAGAGAAACCAGGUUGCUUGGUUCUCUUAGCCCCCGCUCUACCAUGCACUAAUCAACCCACACAGUUGGGCAAGCUGGGCCCUGUGCACGAGGGAAUUCCGAUCUGGACACCGCUGUCCUGGAGGUACCAGGUCCUUGCUGCAUGAGGAGUCUCUGUUGUUCACUUCCCCACCUCCACAACCGGAUUAAACCUGAUCCCACAGCUCCAGUUUGCGACUGGCUGUCCAUGUGGUGGGCUCAGACCGGGGCGCUAGAGUGAUACAGUUUCCCACGGUAUUUCUCAGUGGUGACUGCUAAGGUUUGGAGAACAGUUCUCAGCUGUGUGUGGAAGGCUUGGUCCCCAGUCUAUGAUGUUACUGGGAGGUGGUGGAGCCUUUAAUAGGUAGAGCCUAGGGGAAGGAAGUUAGCUCACCCCAUCCUAUUUCCUCUUCCUGGGUGCUUUGUGAGGAGCUCCUACACACACACCCUUCCCCCACCCCACCCCCCAGGCUUUUAAUAUGCUGCUUCAGCCUAGGCCCAGUGCAACAGGGCUGAUAGACCACGGGUCAGAACCUCCAAAAAAACUGAAGAGUUCUGAAUUUACGCAGUUGAAUCCUUCUCAACAGUCUGUGAUGCGGGAACACUUUAUUACCACCGUUCCCCAGCUGAAGAGUUUUGAAUUCACGCAGUUGAAUCCUUCUCAACAGUCUGUUUUACGGGAACACUAACUCUUACCCGCAGUUCUGGUUCCGGAAUGAAGAAUCUUCCUUGCGCCGGUGAUGGUUAACUCUCGUCUCGAGUUUUUUUGUCCCGGGUUUUUUUUUGUCCCGGGUUCUUUUUUCCCGGAUUUUCUCGUCCCGGAUUUCGGCACCAACUCUUACACGCAUUCUCGCGACCGGCCAGGAAAGACGCAGCAAACCAGAAUCUUCUGUGGCAAAACUUUAUUGCUUACAUCUUCAGGAGCAAGAGUGCAAGCCCCAAACCCCCAGCCCCCUGCUUACAUCUUUAGGAGCCAGAGCGCCAGAGCGCCAGAGCGCCAGAGCGCCAGAACGCAGAUUAUUUGUUUACCACUUAGAACACAGCUGUCAGCGCCAUCUUGUAACGGCGAAUGUGGGGGCGGCUUCCCACAAGAAAACACUGUUUCAGCAAAGAAGCAAAACCAAAAUGAUGAUUAAAAGAGAAAAAUACCAAAGGCCCAACCUCUGGCCGUUCCAGCCACCUGCAUGAGUGAGUGCAUCUGGACAGACAGACUGACCAGCACACAUGCACGUAGACGCUCGAUAUUCAAGUCUUUUUUUUUUUUUUCUGCCUUGUGUGUCUGGGUUGUGGACAUUGUGUUGAAAUAUUGAGGACAUUGAAGUCAAUGCCACGUGUCUUCUACUGAUCUCCUCCUUAGAUUUUGGGACAAGGUCUCUCACUGAUCCUGUGUUGCAGGAUUUUCCCUGUCCAAUUAGAUUAGGGCAGUGGGAAGCCUGUGAUUGGACAGGGAAAAAGGAGGCAGAGCUAGAAGUUGCAGCGACAAGGAGUGUCUCCAGAUAGCAGGGAGAAAGGAAGAUGGCAGGGGACGUGAAUCAGUGUGGCUGUGACCAGCCACAGGUUGUUAUAAUAUCACAAAGGUUGGAAUAUUGGGAUAAUUUGUCUAAUCUAGGUGGGUUAUUUAUUUAUUUAUUUAGAGACUGGGUUUCUCUGUAUAGCCCUGGCUGUCCUGGAACUCACUCUGUAGACCAGGCUGGCCUCAAACUCAGAAAUCCACCUACUUCUGCCUCCCAAGUGUUGGGAUUAAAGGUGUGUACCACCACUGCCCAGCAGUGGGCAGCUUUUAUCACUAUCAAUUGUUUCUAAAAUUAUUGUAUUGGCAUCUUGUAAACUGUGAUUUUAUUGACACAUAAAUCUGAUUGGAAAAAAAAAGAGCUUUAAUUCUAUUAGCUAAUUGGGUGUUUUGAUGGCUGACUGUGGGGUCCGAGGGGCCUUGCAUGAUAGCGAGAGGAGGUGGGGGUGGGGCGCUGGAGAGUUGGUGGGCAGAGAGACCAUCAAGUUGAGUUCACCUGGUAGGAGCCCUGUGGCCAGAGGGGUCAGAGAGUUGGCGGGCUGAAAGAAGCAGGAGCAUGGAGAGUUAGCAGGAUCAUUUUUAAAUAUUUCCCACAACAACCUGGGCUGGACUGUCUGGCCAGCAAGCUCUCGGAUCUAUCUGUGUCCACUUCACCAGCACUGGCGAGACAGAUGUGGUGUGUGUGUGACCACCCCUGGCUUGCACGUGGGUUCUAGGGAUCCAGACUCAGACCCACGUGCUUGCCCAACAAGCACUUUAACUACUGAGUCUUCUUCCUAGUCCCCAGUUCUCAAGCCUUGAAUAACUGAAGUGUGCCAGUCAGGCGGUCGUUCUUUCAAAUACAAAGAGUAUUCCGUAAAAAGAAAUCCAGUAAGUCUGGGCAUGUGGCUUGGCACCUGGUGUGCACAGAAGUCCUGGGUUCUGAUUCUAGCACUGAAAAAGGGAGAAAGGAAAAAGAUGAGAGAGGGGGGGUGGAAAUAAGGAAGGAGAGAAGAAUGGGGGAAAGAACAGGAGGGAGAGAAGAAAGGAGGGAGAAGAAAUAAGAUGGGGGAAUGGAGAAAAAGAUGGAAAAAAAACUGAGCAGUAAAACAGAAAAAUAAGGAGCUGGCAAUAAUUUGACUCUUCUGUCUCAGCCUCUUAUUUGCAAUCACAGCAAACGUGUGCUGUUGACAGACAAUGCCACUGGCAGAGGGCUUUGCCCAUUGACAAGCUGUCAGAAAGGAUGUGAGCUGUUUGUGCGGCAUUGUGUUCAGGUGAUGCCCACAUUAUCAGACUUGGGUAAAGCAGCCAACGCUCUGUGAUGUGGCUGGGUCGCAGUCAGUUGGCUUCAGGCAUUAAACGAAUCGACAGGGCACAGGAUGGAAGGAAUUAUGCCUCCCGGUGGCCUUGGUCAAGAGGUAGCCUAAACUCAACCUGGCAGCUGCUUGCCCUGGGUGUUUGUUGUUGCAAAACAAUCUCCCAAACUGGGCUUGGCUUGUAGAGCACAGGUAGAAGCCACCGGGGAUGACUGGCUUCUGACCUAGGGCUUGGCCCCAGGGUUGAACAGGGCUCUCUCUGAAGUCUCUCAGAAGUUCUUCCAAGAACUGCACAGUUAGACUUCCCCUGAACCCCACUAACAGGGAAGAUGAACUCAGUGCCAAGAAGGUAAGAGCCUGGAACCAAGUUCCAGAAGUAGGGGUUGUGUUCUCUGAUGCUUCGGGAUGGUAAGCCUUCACUUCGGCACGGUUAGGACUGUGGAGAGCUUUUGGGGCCACCUUUAGGAAUUUGGCAAGAGUUUGACAUUGGGCUAGAACUAGGAAAUAGGCUUAGGAUGAAUAAGGCUGAGGAAUGUGUAUCUUGACGGGUCUUGUUAAGACCCCGAAUGCAAUACUUGUGGGACCUUUGUCUGUGCUUUGUUUGUUCCUUAACUAGUUUGUUUAUGCCUUAGGACUGACUUUAUUCGUUGCAGGGGCUUAGGAUGGUGUAAAAGCAAACUGGAGAAAAAUAAAGCUGCUUCAGCCUCAGCCCUGGCAGGAGUCCUGUUACAGUGUUGUCUAACUGUCUUUUUCUUUUCAAUCCUCGAUCCCUCCCUUGAGACCCAGUUGACUGACUGAGCUGUCUUGGUCAUAGGACAGCCAGGCAUGAGGGGCAGCAAGGGAGAGACUUGAUCAUGCACUUACACAGUGCAGGACUUCACAUUGCAAGGAAGCCUUUGUUCUGGCAUACCUGUCACCUGCUCAUCAUAGCUUGUCACCACCUCCCCCGGAGCCCAGAGACCUUUGUGCCAAGCCUCUGUGAGUCCUUCAGGCCAAUUCAUCUCUGUACAAAUCCCUGGGCCUGCCCUCCCACUUUGUGCGAUCUCCCCUAGGCCCUUUUUUCCUUGCCCUUGUAAGGAAGUUUCAGCCAUCUGACCCGCCUCUGACCUUUGUAAUGUGUAUGGCUCCUGUGCACGUUAAUAAAUAAUGUCUACCCUU